UCUGCCGUGGCUCUCGGGAAGCUCACAAGCAGAGCAGGAAGCAUGAGACUCUUAAUCUCUGGGUCGUGGGUUCGAGCCCCACAUUGGGCAAAA